AGUGAACGCUGGCGGUAGGCCUAACACAUGCGAGUCGAACGGCAGCACAGUAAGAGCUUGCUCUUACGGGUGGCGAGUGGCGGACGGGUGAGGAAUACAUCGGAAUCUACUUUUUCGUGGGGGAUAACGUAGGGAAACUUACGCUAAUACCGCAUACGACCUACGGGUGAAAGCAGGGGAUCUUCGGACCUUGCGCGAUUGAAUGAGCCGAUGUCGGAUUAGCUAGUUGGCGGGGUAAAGGCCCACCAAGGCGACGAUCCGUAGCUGGUCUGAGAGGAUGAUCAGCCACACUGGAACUGAGACACGGUCCAGACUCCUACGGGAGGCAGCAGUGGGGAGUAUUGGACAAUGGGCGCAAGCCUGAUCCAGCCAUACCGCGUGGGUGAAGAAGGCCUUCGGGUUGUAAAGCCCUUUUGUUGGGAAAGAAAAGCAGCAGGUUAAUACCCCGCUGUUCUGACGGUACCCAAAGAAUAAGCACCGGCUAACUUCGUG
rnacentral:rRNA from 1 species